GACGAACGCUGGCGGCGUGCCUAAUACAUGCAAGUAGAACGCUGAAGGAGGAGCUUGCUUCUCUGGAUGAGUUGCGAACGGGUGAGUAACGCGUAGGUAACCUGCCUGGUAGCGGGGGAUAACUAUUGGAAACGAUAGCUAAUACCGCAUAAGAGUAGAUGUUGCAUGACAUUUGCUUAAAAGGUGUAAUUGCAUCACUACCAGAUGGACCUGCGUUGUAUUAGCUAGUUGGUGGGGUAACGGCUUACCAAGGCGACGAUACAUAGCCGACCUGAGAGGGUGAUCGGCCACACUGGGACUGAGACACGGCCCAGACUCCUACGGGAGGCAGCAGUAGGGAAUCUUCGGCAAUGGACGGAAGUCUGACCGAGCAACGCCGCGUGAGUGAAGAAGGUUUUCGGCUCGUAAAGCUCUGUUGUAAGAGAAGAACGAGUGUGAGAGUGGAAAGUUCACACUGUGACGGUAUCUUACCAGAAAGGGACGGCUAACUACGUG
rnacentral:rRNA from 1 species